CCGGGGAGCCGGGCAGCCGCGUCAUGCCGCAAGGCAUGCCGAGGAAAGUCCGGGCUCCACGAAACGAGGGUGGCGGGUAACGCCCGCCGGGCGAGUGGGCCGCGAGGUCCGCGAAGCUCAGGGAAAGUGCCACAGAAAGCAAACCGCCGAUGCCCGUUCGCGGGCAGGCAAGGGUGAAAGGGUGCGGCAAGAGCGCACCGCGCUCCCGGCAACGGCGAGCGGCACGGCAAACCCCACCCGGAGCAAGACCGAAUAGGGUCCGCGCGCCGAGGACUUAUGUUCCGAGGCAGGUCUGUUUCGGACCGAGGCGGACCGGGUUGGUCGCUGGAGCGGCGCAGCGAUGCGCCGCGUAAGAGGAAUGGCUGCCCAGGCGGGGCCGGUCGCAUCGCGAUACCGCUCGCCUGACAGAACCCGGCUUACAGGCUCCCCGGCAUG
rnacentral:RNase_P_RNA from 1 species